GUUAAUACUUGCUGAGGCCCCACACACGGCAAGUGUGUCGAGAGGAUAAAGUUCAUCAUGUUUUCUUAACAUUUUUGUAAAGGACUCUUCCGUGCAGACAAAGACAACAAUAUUUUACCAAGGGUGUUGGGAGGAUGUUUCUACAUGGGGGAUGUGACCGAGGCUGCUAUGAGACCCUGAAGUCCACCGUCAGCUCGCUGGCACCGCCUCUUCCUGGAGGUGUAGCUUUGCUUUUGCAAAUGUGGAAGGCUCUCGAGCCAGAUGGGGCUCUUUUGAUGACAGCUUCUGGCUCUCAGAUAAAUCUUAGCUGGCGUUGCUUAACACGAUAAGUCAUUAAUAAUUCUGCUGGUAAUCACAGUUUUAAAAAUAGCGUUCAAAAUAUAAAACAUUCUCAUGCAUUUGAAUCCAUCCAUCCUUUUCUAUCGCACCUGUUCAAGAAGUCGCAUUAAUGGUCAAAAGUAUUUGAUUUAUUAUUGGUUAGCUUCAGAAUAACAAUGUUAUUAAAAACAAUAAAAGAUGCACGCAUUUUUUUGUUGUAACCAGGGAAAGUCCAAAUAAAAGAGGAGGCAUAGAAUUCUCUUGUCAGAGUAUGGGUGUACAA